UUGAGAGUACCAUGUGGAGAGCAGCCACCCAGACCUGCAUGAGCAAUAUUUGAGCACUACAAUUAUUUGAAGAUGAAGGAAGCUGAAGACUGUCAGUGAGGAC
rnacentral:lncRNA from 1 species